UUUCAGUUACCGCAUUCCUUAAACUAUCUAUUAAUUAUGCGUAUUGAACAAUGUUCAAAGAAACUUCUUCCUUAGAGUCAGAAGCUUUUAAAAUUGGACGGUUUUUAUGUAAAGGGGCACAAGUCAUAUUUUGACAUUUUUUUUUUAUACAUUAAUUUUGUGUGAAAUUUUAUGCCCGAUCGAAUGGUAGCACUGUCGUGGUCGCACGAUGAUUUGUUAUCACCGUAUAUUGAAAUGCGAUAAGGCACAAGUCUAAAUUAACGAUUUUUUUUUUUAUGCAAAACGGCACAAGUCAUAUUUAAUUUAUAUAAUAUUAUAAUUUUAUUAGUUUAUAUUAGUUUUUAUUAAACAACCAGCUUACACGUUACACGAUGUCUAAAAGGACAUUAAAUUUAUUAUCUCGUGUUACAACUUCAGAAACUAAUGUGACAUAUUCUGCUAAGAGAAAACUUAAUUUUAAUGGACUUCCACAUAAAAAAAUCCAGUUGACCAACUGGAGAAAAAUUUGUGUUCCAUGAUGUCAAAUGGAUGCGUUAUGUAAAAGACCAAAAGAAUACAGUUUUUUACAAGACAUCACUAAAAGAUGAAGCUGUAUUUCUUGAAGUAGAUUUGACACGGAAAAAAAGUAAUGAAAGUAGCUUACCUAUGGCCUAUGACGAAGAACUACCCAUAACAAUUGAAAAAAAAACAGAUCUUAUA